rnacentral:rRNA from 1 species
AACGAACGCUGGCGGCAUGCCUAACACAUGCAAGUCGAACGAGGCCUUCGGGUCUAGUGGCGCACGGGUGCGUAACGCGUGGGAACCUGCCCUUAGGCUCGGAAUAACUCCCCGAAAGGGGUGCUAAUACCGGAUAAUGUCUUCGGACCAAAGAUUUAUCGCCUUUGGAUGGGCCCGCGUUGGAUUAGCUAGUUGGUAGGGUAAAAGCCUACCAAGGCGACGAUCCAUAGCUGGUCUGAGAGGAUGAUCAGCCACACUGGGACUGAGACACGGCCCCGACUCCUACGGGAGGGAGGAAUGGGGAAUAUUGGACAAUGGGCGAAAGCCUGAUCCAGCAAUGCCGCGUGAGUGAUGAAGGCCUUAGGGUUGUAAAGCUCUUUUACCCGGGAUGAUAAUGACAGUACCGGGAGAAUAAGCUCCGGCUAACUCCGUG